rnacentral:lncRNA from 1 species
AUCCUUGCCAUGAGAACACUCAAGAUUUCUUAUUUAGAGAACAGACAAAAAUGAAGGACUGAAAACUAAAGAAAAACAGAAGCACAGAUUUCUUUAUACCUUAUUUGAGUGAAUGUGUGUGGUUCUUUGAUCAUAUCAAAAGAAAACUGUUGAUGACAUGCUGAAAAAAUAAAACAACAUAACAUAUGGCAGAAAGCAUAUCAGCAUAGUACUUCUGUUUUUACACCACUUUCUACUGAAUUUUCCUGAACUACAUUUGCUAAUAUUUUACAAAAUGUAUUGAACUGUUCUGAUUUUUACUAUUUGCCAUUAUGACAGCUUUGGAAAGAACUAAUUCAUUAAAGUAGUCCACUGUUGUCAUAUAAUUUUUUUAACUUCUUUAACACUGAACUGCUUGCUCGGGUAACUGUGAAAAGUAAUAAUUACAAGCCAACAUUUGUAAAAUACAGCAUAUGAGUUUUUAAUGAGGUAUGUGUCCUAUACCAUAUUUCUGCAAGUGUCUGACUACAAAAGCACAAGAUAAAUGCAGACACAGUGAUAUUCCUUUUUGUGCAAUCUUUAGAAAACAUUGUGUGAUAAACCUCAUAUGAGUUUAUGAGUGCUUUACUCUCUGACUCUGGAGGUACUAAUUCCUAUGGAAGCGAGUAAAAGUUGACUGCGCUCAGUCGCUAUGAUUAAGCACAUCUUUACCUGUUCCAGUUGAAAGUCAUAGCAGGAACCUCUAAACUGCGUGUAUAGAAGUCUGAUCUGUGACUCUUUUCAAGGCUAUAUUUUUUUUCAUUUUCAGAUUGUUUUCCCUAAUCCAGAGACUUUAUUAAAUAAUCAUGUGCAAGGUGAAGAUCACAAAUGUAUUCUAUUAAAAGGAGAAAAAACAUUCCUCAUUAGGAAGAGCAGAUGCAUCCCAGCUAAGAGGUUUGAGGAUUAUAGAUUCAUUCAAGAAUUUUCCUUUUUUUCCAGUGUUUUUGACUGUAAGUGAUUUUGAGCAGUGGCUUCACUUCUUGUGUGUUUUCCUUGUGCCGAGUACAAUAUUCAUGAGAGAAAGAAAUAAAAAAUAAAAAAUAAAAAAUCA